UUUGUUAUGUUGAUUGAAAAAUUCUGGUUUCUCAUAGGAAUACCGUGGGAUUUGUUUAAUAGAACACAAGUGCCUAAAAUGCCCAGUGCUUCUCUUUUUUACAGGUGAAGCAUUAGACAGGUUUGUUGGUUCCUUCUAUAUAAGGCAUUGACUGAUGAUCUUAAAGGUUACAGGUCAUCCAGAAGCUUUUAUUGAAUUGUUCGGUUUUAACUGAUGAAUCUUGAAGGUCACAGGUCAUCCAGAAGAUUAUAUGAAUUGUUCAGUUUUUCUUUGUUGGUAGAAGAAUGAUACUUAGACUUUUUUGUUUGUUAGUUUUCUCUAUUAACAAUGCUGCUUAAGAUAACCAUUUUUUCUGAAGUUUUAAUUUUCCGAGAUCUUCCGAUUGGUUGAUUGUUUCGUUGGAUAUUGUUGGUGGCUCUGUGAAAUCAAAGCUUCAUUUUUUUUUUCUGUUUUUGAGGACAUGGCACUACAUAUUUUGGCUCUAGAAUUGUGUUAAUUAUUGAAUUUGCUACUUUCCUGCAGAACAUGAAAUUACAUUGGAGCCAAACGAGUACGGAAAUAUUUGGAAAUAUGCUAUCGUUCUAUACGCAUCAUUGUAGACACGCAUUUUUACAUGCAAAGAUGGUUAAUUUAUUAUGCUUCUAUUGUCCAGACAUGAAAAACGACGUUGGUGAUGUGCUUAAGCAGCCCCGCUCUUGUAUAAAUAUAACAAAAAUCCAAAAUUCCAAAGAUUAAUAACUCAAGACUCAUAAAACGACGGCGCAGCAAAGCACGCUGGCCCGUCUAUAGUUAAAUCAGGCGUACGCAGAGGAAUCACCCAUGUCCAUGUGCCACCGUCCA
rnacentral:lncRNA from 1 species